UACACUCCUACGGGAGGCAGCAGUGGGGAAUAUUGGACAAUGGGCGCAAGCCUGAUCCAGCCAUGCCGCGUGAGUGAUGAAGGCCCUAGGGUUGUAAAGCUCUUUCACCGGUGAAGAUAAUGACGGUAACCGGAGAAGAAGCCCCGGCUAACUUCGUGCCAGCAGCCGCGGUAAUACGAAGGGGGCUAGCGUUGUUCGGAUUUACUGGGCGUAAAGCGCACGUAGGCGGACUAUUAAGUCAGGGGUGAAAUCCCGGGGCUCAACCCCGGAACUGCCUUUGAUACUGGUAGUGUUGAGUUCGAGAGAGGUGAGUGGAAUUCCGAGUGUAGAGGUGAAAUUCGUAGAUAUUCGGAGGAACACCAGUGGCGAAGGCGGCGCACUGGCUCGAUACUGACGCUGAGGUGCGAAAGCGUGGGGAGCAAACAGGAUUAGAAACCCCGGUAGUCCCAUGA
rnacentral:rRNA from 1 species